AUUUAGACUAAGAUGGUAUAAUUUAGUGAUUAAUAAUUGGAUUAUAAUUUUUAAUUAGUUUCCUGAAAUUAAAAAUUUGCCAUUCCCCAGACUAGGCUUAUUUAAGAUUCAAGCUUUAGAAAAGGAAGUGGUUAUAAAUGAGAAUAUAUAUUGAACUAUGCCAAAUUUCACUUUUUACUGAACCUCUUCAAAAUUUUGACAAUCUUAUAGAAGGACAAAGUGCAUAUAUAGAAUGCUUAAUUCCAAUCUAUAUUAAUCUAUACUUGAGCUAUAUCUGUCUGCUCAAGUUUGUCAAGAGGCCUAAUGGCUACAUAGAUAGCCUGCUUGGGAAUGCUGGUAUCAACCUAGUCUGAUAAGUUUCAGAACUUAAUCAUUAUAUAUGCUUCUUGAAAUGGAAAUCUGCCUGAUACUAUAGUAGCCUAAUUAGUUAAGAUGAGGCAUUCCUGAUUCUAUGUUCGAUUCUGAGUACUGGCAAAGUUUUUAUUUCAGGAAGUUAGUCGGGAAUUAUAGUCUAAUUAUUGAUUAC
rnacentral:lncRNA from 1 species